GGGUCCCUACGGGACGCAGCAGUGAGGAAUAUUGGUCAAUGGGCGGAAGCCUGAACCAGCCAAGUCGCGUGAGGGAAUAAGGCCCUACGGGCCGUAAACCUCUUUUGCCGGGGAGCAAGGGCCGGGACGCGUCCCGGCCCGGAGAGGACCCGGAGAAAAAGCAUCGGCUAACUCCGUGCCAGCAGCCGCGGUAAUACGGAGGAUGCGAGCGUUAUCCGGAUUUAUUGGGGUUAAAGGGUGCGUAGGCGGGCUUUUAAGUCAGCGGGAAAAAUUCGGGGCUCAACCCCG
rnacentral:rRNA from 1 species